rnacentral:snoRNA from 1 species
GCAGGCCGCAGAGGGUUGCCAUCCAUUCCUCGUGCGGUUCAACAAAAUGGUCCAAGA